rnacentral:misc_RNA from 1 species
GAUGAAGAACGCAGCGAAAUGCAAUAAGUAGUGUGAAUUGCAGAAUUCAGUGAAUCAUCGAAUCUUUGAACGCACAUUGCGCCCUUUGGUAUUCCUUAGGGCAUGCCUGUUCGAGCGUCAUUUAAACCUUCAAGCUCAGCUUGGUGUUGGGUGACUGUCCGCUUCACCGCGGACUCGCCUCAAAAUUAUUGGCGGCCGGUACAUUGGCUUCGAGCGCAGCAGAAACGCGAACUCGGGCCCGUCGUAUUGGCUCCCAGAAGCUAUCUUCACAAUUUUGACCUCGUAUCAGGUAGGGAUACCCGCUGAACUUAAGCAUAUCAAUAAGCGGAGGA